rnacentral:rRNA from 1 species
UACGUAGGGUGCGAGCGUUGUCCGGAAUUAUUGGGCGUAAAGAGCUUGUAGGUGGUUUGUCGCGUCUGCUGUGAAAAUCCGAGGCUCAACCCUCGGACUUGCAGUGGGUACGGGCAGACUAGAGUGUGGUAGGGGAGACUGGAAUUCCUGGUGUAGCGGUGGAAUGCGCAGAUAUCAGGAGGAACACCGGUGGCGAAGGCGGGUCUCUGGGCCGAUACUGACGCUGGAGGAG